rnacentral:lncRNA from 1 species
CUCAGCCACAAGUGCUUGUCCCCAUUCUGUCCUCUGUAUUUUGCACAGCUGCAGGAAAAGAAGAAAGGAACUGAUCAAGCUGAGAAAACAAUCUUCCUUUUAGUCCUUGUUCUUCCUGAUGACAAGGGUCCACUACACCAUAUGCACACAAUGGUGCCCAGGUUUGGACUCUACAGGAAAUUUCAAUGUGCUAACAGUUGGCACUUUAUUUGUGGACACACCCUUUACUUCCAAAUGCACAGCACUUCAGCUUCAGGGAAUCACUAUUCCCGUGAGACCCCACAAUGUCUGCAGCACAGCAACAACUCUUCAGACACUACAGUCCCAGAGGCAGUGGGCCACAAAAAGUAAAACAAGCUUUUAAAAAGUAAUUAAUGCAAAAUGGAUUUGAUGUCAAGCCAAGGCAAAAAUGACCAAU